CACUAGUACGAGAGGACCGUGUUGGACGAACCGCUGGUUUAUCGGUUAUGCCGCCAGGCGUAUUGCCGAGUAGCUACGUUCGGUUGAGAUAAGUGCUGAAAGCAUCUAAGUACGAAGCUUGCCUCAAGAUUAGAUCUCAUUAUAAGGGUGGUUAUAGACGAUGACCUUGAUAGGCUACAGGUGUAAAGGCGGUGACGUCAUAGCCGAGUAGUACUAAUUGCCCGAAAGUUUUUGCCUG
rnacentral:rRNA from 1 species